rnacentral:rRNA from 1 species
UACGUAGGGUGCGAGCGUUAAUCGGAAUUACUGGGCGUAAAGCGCGUGUAGGCGGUUUGGAAAGUCGGAUGUGAAAGCCCUGGGCUCAACCUAGGAAGUGCAUUCGAAACUUCCGAGCUGGAGUGCUGGAGAGGAAGGCGGAGUUCUCGGUGUAGAGGUGAAAUUCGUAGAUAUCGAGAGGAACACCGGUGGCGAAGGCGGCCUUCUGGACAGUAACUGACGCUGAGACGCGAAAGCGUGGGGAGCAAACAGG